UACGUAGGGGGCAAGCGUUGUCCGGAUUUACUGGGCGUAAAGCGCCUGUAGGCGGCCUGUCAAGUCCGGCCUGAAAGCCCCCCGCUCAACGGGGGAGGGUGGCUGGAAACUGGCAGGCUUGAGGGCGAGAGAGGAGGGUGGAAUUCCUGGUGUAGCGGUGAAAUGCGUAGAGAUCAGGAGGAACACCGAUGGCGAAGGCAGGUCUCUGGGCCACUACUGACGCUGAGAAGCGAAAGCAUGGGGAGCGAACAGG
rnacentral:rRNA from 1 species